UACGUAGGCAGCGAGCGUUGUUCGGAGUUACUGGGCGUAAAGGGUGUGUAGGCGGUUGUUUAAGUUUGGUGUGAAAUCUCCCGGCUCAACUGGGAGGGUGCGCCGAAUACUGAAUGACUUGGAGUGCGGGAGAGGUGAGUGGAAUUCCUGGUGUAGCGGUGAAAUGCGUAGAUAUCAGGAGGAACACCGGUGGUGUAGACGGCUCACUGGACCGUAACUGACGCUGAGGCGCGAAAGCGUGGGGAGCAAACAGG
rnacentral:rRNA from 1 species